rnacentral:lncRNA from 1 species
CUGCAGCAAGGUAACACCUAGUUGAGUUACACAUUUUGUCAUAAUAUAUUCAGAAAUUAUUUUUGAAAAAACAAUGGAUACCAAAUACAUUUUUCUGGUGAUUUUCUUUGCCUGCAUUUCACUUUGUCUGAUGGGAUCGGUCGAAGGCAAAAAUUCACCUGAACGUCCUCCUGCUCCUCGUGAGAGCGACCCUGGACACCAUCAUAGACGCAAGUAACAAAGAAGAUAUUAUGUACUGAUUGUUUAUACAGUUAUUUUGUGAAUUGGCUAGUUUUGUAGCUAUAUGAAAAGAGCAUAAUAAAAUAUUCAAAAUUCUA